rnacentral:rRNA from 1 species
GAUGAACGCUGGCGGCGUGCCUAAUACAUGCAAGUCGAGCGAACGGACGAGAAGCUUGCUCCUCUGACGUUAGCGGCGGAAGGGUGAGUAACACGUGGAUAACCUCCUGAUAAAACUGGGAUAGAUUCGGGAAACCGGAGUUAAUACCGGAUAAAAUAUUCUAUCGUAUGAUACAAUAGUGUAAUAUGAUUUUGCUAUCAUUAUUACAUUGAUCCGCGCCGCCUUAGCUAUUUGGUAUGGUAACGGCUUAACAAGACCACGAUGCGUAUCCGUCCUGAGAGGGUGGUCAGCCACACUGGAACUGAGACACGGUCCAGACUCCUACGGGAGGCAACAGUAGGGAAUCUUCCGCAAUGGGCGGAAGCCUGACGGAGCAACGCCGCGUGAGUGAUGAAGGUCUUCGGAUCGUAAAGCUCUGUCAUUAGGGAAGAACAAAUGUGUAAGUAACUAUGCACGUCUUGACGGUACCUAAUCAGAAAGCCACGGCUAACUACGUG